AGUUCAUGUACUACUCAACUAUGCCAAUCGAAACUAUCUUACUUCUUCAAUUCCCAGAGCACAUAGAAACAAAGACACUGCAACAAAUCCUACCCGUUCUCACCUUGAGAACUUCUAAGUACCCACAAAAUCAAUCACGUAACUUAAAGAAAACAAGGAAAAAAAACUAUUCAAAUUCUUAUCAACAUAACCACUAUAAUUUUCAUAAAUAUGAAAUUUUCAUUGAAUGCCUCACCAAAUCUGUUAUUCUAAAACUUAUAUUGUUCCUUUCUUGAGAAUAAGUGACCAGCACUGCUCAGUGAAAGCGAUUCCUGAAGAUGAUAUAAGAAUAUGCCAACCUCAAUGUAUUGUAUGAAGUUAUAAAAAAUGACAGUCCAAAACUUUUAUUGCUCAUUUCUG
rnacentral:misc_RNA from 1 species